GACGUAGGGCGCGAGCGUUGUCCGGAUUUAUUGGGCGUAAAGAGCUCGUAGGCGGCUUGUCGCGUCGUCCGUGAAAACCUGCGGCUCAACUGCAGGCUGGCGGUCGAUACGGGCAGGCUGGAGUUCGGUAGGGGAGACUGGAAUUCCCGGUGUAGCGGUGAAAUGCGCAGAUAUCGGGAAGAACACCCGUGGCGAAGGCGGUUCUCUGGGACGGUACUGACGCUGAGACGCGAAAGCGUGGGGAGCGAACAGG
rnacentral:rRNA from 1 species